rnacentral:rRNA from 1 species
GAUGAACGCUGGCGGCGUGCCUAAUACAUGCAAGUCGAGCGAACGGACGAGAAGCUUGCUUCUCUGAUGUUAGCGGCGGACGGGUGAGUAACACGUGGAUAACCUACCUAUAAGACUGGGAUAACUUCGGGAUACCGGAGCUAAUACCGGAUAAUAUUUUGAACCGCAUGGUUCAAAAGUGAAAGACGGUCUUGCUGUCACUUAUAGAUGGAUCCGCGCUGCAUUAGCUAGUUGGUAAGGUAACGGCUUACCAAGGCAACGAUGCAUAGCCGACCUGAGAGGGUGAUCGGCCACACUGGAACUGAGACACGGUCCAGACUCCUACGGGAGGCAGCAGUAGGGAAUCUUCCGCAAUGGGCGAAAGCCUGACGGAGCAACGCCGCGUGAGUGAUGAAGGUCUUCGGAUCGUAAAACUCUGUUAUUAGGGAAGAACAUAUGUGUAAGUAACUGUGCACAUCUUGACGGUACCUAAUCAGAAAGCCACGGCUAACUACGUG